CCUACGGGAGGCAGCAGUGGGGAAUAUUGCACAAUGGGGGAAACCCUGAUGCAGCGACGCCGCGUGAGUGAAGAAGUAUUUCUGUAUGUAAAGCUCUAUCAGCAGGGAAGAAAAUGACGGUACCUGAUUCAGAAGCCCCUGCUAACUACGUGCCAGCAUCCGCGGUAAUACGUAGGGGGCAAGCGUUAUCCGGAUUUACUGGGUGUAAAGGGAGCGUAGACGGCAUCACAAGUCUGGAGUGAAAUGCCGGGGCUUAACCCCGGAACUGCUUUGGAAACUGUGCAGCUAGAGUGAAGGAGAGGUAAGUGGAAUUCCUGGGGUAGCGGUGAAAUGCGUAGAUAUUAGGAGGAACACCAGUGGCGAAGGCGGCUUACUGGACUGUAACUGACGUUGAGGCUCGAAAGCGUGGGGAGCAAACAGGAUUAGAUACCCGGGUAGUC
rnacentral:rRNA from 1 species